rnacentral:rRNA from 1 species
UACGGAGGGUGCGAGCGUUGUCCGGAAUCACUGGGCGUAAAGGGCGCGUAGGCGGCAUGCCAAGCGUGUGGUGAAAGCCCGGGGCUCAACCCCGGGUCGGCCGUGCGGACUGGCGUGCUCGAGCACUGUAGGGGCGGGUGGAAUUCCGGGUGGUAGCGGUGGAAUGCGUAGAGGAUCCGGAAGAACACCGGUGGCGAAGGCGGCCCGACUGGGCCAGGGAAGG